CAUGACAGCACAAUGUUCUAGCGUUGGCGUGUGUUGAUUACUACGUUUAUUCACAUGUUAUUCACAUGUUAGCUACGGAGUCUACAAGAACUGGUCGCAAGAUUUGUUCCUGAACUUAAGGUGUUGAUUAAAAGGGAGCUACUACACUAAUGGAACAUUCACUUUGGAAUACCGCCGACGUUAACUGAGCCGUCGAAAAUUAAAGCCAACUGGUCGAAACGUACAUGAAAGCAAGGUUGGCUAAUAAACACUCGCUAAAAGCGCCACCUUCAAGUAGCGUGUGAUGUGUUAUCCUCGAAAUUCGUCAAACCUCAAUCAAUCCAUCAAACGGUACGGGUAUCGCGCAUCGAUCAAACUCUUUGCAGACGACACAGAGGCACAGUCUUCAUGGAGGAGAUUGUAUCGUGCGUUGGUAUCGCGGUGGCGGUUUCUUGCGGUUUUGCAGUCACCCCUUGGAUGGCCCCGUUUUCGAUGCAAUAAUCAAUUCAGUUCAAGCCCUCUCGCGGAGACGCACCACAGCUGGUCCCACCAGGCUGGAUGACCAGUUUUUCCUCUUCAACUGCUGGGUGGCUGCUGUUCUGUGGCUGCCCCCGGACGGGCAAUUCUUGGUGCAGGCACUGUGGAUGCGAAUCUAAUUGAAGAACGCGACACAACAAACCGCAGCUCUGCCAAUGGCCGGCGGUGCACCUACACGCACGCGAGCGCGAGAAUCGAUGCGCGAAUCUCCAUCACCCAGGACGGGAGUACAAAAACGAAACCGUCGAACGUCGAUCAGCUGCAAACCCGUGGAUCGCGUACAUGAUUGCAAAUGGGUGUGCAAGAGAUGCGGCACAAUAAAAUCGCCAACAGCACAAAAACUAGACACCCUGCGGAUGAUACCGA